rnacentral:tRNA from 1 species
AGUCCUGUAGCUCAGUUGGUUAUGAGCGUUCCCCUGAUAAGGGAAAGGUCGUUGGUUCAAGCCCAAUCAGGACUA